rnacentral:rRNA from 1 species
UUACCUACGGGGCGCAGCAGUGGGGAAUAUUGCACAAUGGGGGAAACCCUGAUGCAGCAACGCCGCGUGAGUGAAGAAGUCAUUCGUGAUGUAAAGCUCUAUCAGCAGGGAAGAAAAUGACGGUACCUGAGUAAGAAGCCCCGGCUAACUACGUGCCAGCAGCCGCGGUAAUACGUAGGGGGCAAGCGUUAUCCGGAUUUACUGGGUGUAAAGGGAGCGUAGACGGCGAGGUAAGCCUGAAGUGGAAGCCCGCGGCCCAACCGCGGAACUGCUUUGGGAACUGUUUUGCUGGAGUAUGGGAGGGG